GACGAACGCUGGCGGCGUGCUUAACACAUGCAAGUCGAACGGAAAGGCCCUGCUUUUGUGGGGUGCUCGAGUGGCGAACGGGCGAGUAACACGUGAGUAACCUGCCCUUGACUUUGGGAUAACUUCAGGAAACUGGGGCUAAUAUCGGAUAGGAGCCCCUGCUGCAUGGUGGGGGGUGGAAAGUUUCGGCGGGUGGGGAUGGACUCGCGGGUUAUCAGCUUGUUGGUGGGGUAGUGGCUUACCAAGGCUUUGACGGGUAGCCCGCCCGAGAGGGUGACAGGCCACAUUGGGACUGAGGGACGGCCCAGACUCCUACGGUAGGCAGCAGUGGGGAAUAUUGAACAAUGGGCGGAAGCCUGAUGAAGCAACGCCGCGUGCGGGAUGACGGCCUUCGGGUUGUAAACCGCUUUCGCCUGUGACGAAGCGUGAGUGACGGUAAUGGGUAAAGAAGCACCGGCUAACUACGUG
rnacentral:rRNA from 1 species